rnacentral:rRNA from 1 species
AUUGAACGCUGGCGGCAUGCUUUACACAUGCAAGUCGAACGGUAACAGAGUGCUUGCACCGCUGACGAGUGGCGAACGGGUGAGUAAUGCGUCGGAACGUGCCGAGUAGUGGGGGAUAACGCAGCGAAAGUUGUGCUAAUACCGCAUACGUACUGAGGUAGAAAGUGGGGGACCUUCGGGCCUCACGCUAUUCGAGCGGCCGACGUCUGAUUAGCUAGUAGGUGAGGUAAAGGCUCACCUAGGCGACGAUCAGUAGCGGGUCUGAGAGGAUGACCCGCCAAACUGGGACUGAGACACGGCCCAGACUCCUACGGGAGGCAGCAGUUGGGAAUGUUGGACAAUGGGCGAAAGCCUGAUCCAGCCAUGCCGCGUGUCUGAAGAAGGCCUUCGGGUUGUAAAGGACUUUUGUCAGGGAGGAAAUCCCUAGUGCUAAUAACACUGGGGGAUGACAGUACCUGAAGAAUAAGCACCGGCUAACUACGUGCCAGCAGCCGCGGUAA